UACGUAGGGAGCGAGCGUUGUCCGGAUUUAUUGGGCGUAAAGCGCGCGUAGGCGGUUUGAUAAGCCGGGUGUGAAACCUCCAAGCUCAACUUGGAGCGGCCACUCGGAACUGUCAUGACUUGAGUCAGGUAGGGGAACACGGAAUUCCAGGUGUAGCGGUGAAAUGCUUAGAUAUCUGGAGGAACACCAGUGGCGAAGGCGGUGUUCUGGGCCUGUACUGACGCUGAUGCGCAAAAGCGUGGGGAGCGAACAGG
rnacentral:rRNA from 1 species